ACAAGUGACAUUAGAGCAGCCUUCUCAAACAGAGGCGGACGCUGUCCCAUCCGGGAGCAUAUCUGAAUCUAGGAGGCGCUUUUCUCCCAGAGAAUCCCCUGCAGGGAGAAGUCUGCGCCUGUGACUCAUGCAGCCACAGACAGAAGCUUUCAAGCCCCUUUUUGGAGGAAGAGUGGAUUCUUGACACAGAAUCCCUGCCAGUGAGCACUGGGAUGAGAAGAGAGGCCACAGCUCUUCUUCGGCUUGGAGGUGCUGAAACUGAGGUUUUGAGGAAAAUGAAGAGAAGACGCCACAGAAGAGGAGAUGGAUCCGGGCCCAGACCUCCCCUCCCCACUGGCCGCAGUACUCACCAGGAAGUCGGGGUGCUCACAGCUGGUCAUGGCAGACUUCACGGCAACUGGAGGACUCCUGUUGGCGUCCUCCCAGGGUGAAAAAAAAGGGAAGCUGCUCCAAUAGAGAAAGAUUAACUUCUCAAUGCCCGCCAAAAUAAUAAAAGUGAGAGGCAGGCAGGGAUCCCCGGCCUGGCUCUGAGGAGGGUGGGGCCUCCUGGCUCCAGAUGCGGAUCUGCAACAGACUCCCGCCACCCACACCGCCCCACCCCAGCCCUCUCCAGUCAUAAUUUGAUCAAGAAACUCAGGUGUUGAUGGGGUGAGCUCUUUGCCGGAGGCUCAUAGCAAAUGCAGGAGCUGAGGUUCAAACCCAGACAGUCUUGUUCCACAGCCCGCGGGGCUCAAGGAGAUGCUGGAUGGAGACCUGCGAACCCUCUGGGUCUGGAGAACGGAAGGACAAGGCUCCAGGGAAGAUGGCCCAGAGAGAGUAUACACCAAGGGGCUUGCUCAGCCUGCCCCUGAGAGGAAACGUGGGUCCUCUACAAAUGGCACCCAGGGGCUCAACAGUCACUUGGAAGUGAAGGGUAUUGAAAGUGCUGGACUUAGACCUUUAUCUGCUCUGCAUCUGAUGUUCUGGAGAGUUCUGAAAGCCCCUCGGCUGCUGCAGGAGAUGUGAAUGAAUUUCCUGAGCAAGUCCACUCUCUGGACCAACAGUCUAAAGAAUUUUGGGGAUUUGCUCAGAAUCCUAAGACCGAGUCUGAGAGCCCUGGGCCACCAGGUCAAGCACACUUCUUCUAAGACAGCCUGAGAGGUGGCAUGAACAACUUUCGAUUCCAAAAAGAUCACUCUGGGUGCUGUGUGGAGAACAGACUGGGAAGGGGAAGAAUGGAUAUGGUGAAACCAUGUUGGAGGAGUCUGGGUGCUGAAAGAUGAUGGCUCAGACCAGAGUGACAGUGAAGAUGGACAGAACUCAAGGAAAUGAAGAGAUACUACUAGCAGUUCCAGGGAUGCCUCCUCAGGCCAACAGGCAGGCCAGAGUCUCCCCCAACGGAACCUGCACCAACCAACAAGCAGCCACCUGCUCCAGGAGCUGAGGGGCCCGCCCCUGCUGAUCAAGCCUCAGAAAAUACUCAUCCCCAAGAGCCGCCUGCAUCUGAGCUCCCCUGGGAGAGCUGGGAGGAGCAGCAGCAAGAUGCCCAUCUCCCUGGGCUCCUGCCGUGCUCCUCUGAGCACAGCAGAGGUGUCCUGGAGCACGCUGCCCUCGUGGGAGUCAUCCCAACCCCAGCGCCUGUGGUGAGCAUGGCAUGGCAGGAAAGGGGAACUGUCACCAACUCACAGCCAUCUGUCCUGUCUUCUCCAUCCUCCCUAGGACCCCAUCCCGACCUUUUCUAGUGUGGACUGGAAAGCCCAGGCCAGGAUUCUAACUGCAAGCUCAGCCCCUGUCAGCGGUUCUCACUGUGUCCUCAGAAAGAUCUUUCUAACUCACCAAUCCUGUUUCUUAUCACUGUGUCAUCAGAAAGGUCUUUCUAACUCACCAUAUCCUGUUUCUUAAGGAAACUGGACUUAGGAAGGAAGAGAAUGUCCUGAGAAGCAAGAAUAAUGAGGAAUGGGAUGACUCUCUGUCCCUAUAAGUCUUUAGGAAGAGGACAGGCUGCCUGCCAUUGAAUAGGAGCACCUGGGGACAGCACAACUCUGAGGACAGCCCACUCAUAAUAUUUGCAGGUCCCAGGGCACAAGCACACAUGGAGGCCUACCUACCUUGCAUCCUUACUGAAAGGUUAUAAGUCAAGUUAGCAAACUGUGACAUAAGUAUGUUCUAUCAUCCUGCCCUGACAAGCGUGCCCUCAAAGCAACCUGCUAGCCGGCUGGCAUUUAGAAUUCCCUGACUCCUUGGAUUCUGUGCUCAAAUGCAGUGGCACAGGGAGAGCAGGUCACAGCUCACAGCCUGGUCCCCUGCUUUCCUCACCCUUGGCUCCACCCCACACCACAAGAGCCUUCAGUGCAUGCGAGUGGACAGCCAGUCUGCACACCCAAGCUCUGUCCACCCCUCCUCCAUGAACAUCCGCCCUUGGCCACUCCUUGGCUGGGCCUAGGGGUGCACACCUGGGGAAGCGGCCUGCACAGGCUCUGCAAGUGACCAUUUGGGCAGGAAGGCGAGGGUGUUGGAAUGAGAGUGUGGUCCUGGAAAGAGGGCUGUGGCUCCAGGUCAGCAUGUCCCCUUGGCCCCACAAACUCCUUGCCCCAUGGUGGGAUGGCAUACCCAGAAGAGGAGUAGAACAGACCCCUCUAUCUAGGCCUAAGUGUGGUCAUAGACAGGGCACCUCAGCCACUCACUCUGUCUUCUACUGAGAAGUGAUCAGAAGGUGGCCCUUUGAGCCUUGGAAAUGGUGCUGUCACGUUGCCCUGUCCACGUUCUCCCUCUCACUCCUGUUCUCCAAUGCUCUAUCAGUCAGGCCCCCACCAGGAAACAGAUGGUACAAUCAGUUUAGAUCAUUUUCAAAGGUGGAGAUGGAAUAUAAGGCAACCACAAUGGAUAUGUAGUAACCCAGAGGUAGUAAGAGUGAAGGAGACAUUUCCACCUUUAGGCCCAAGGACUAGGGGAGGUAAGAUGUACUGGAACCCAGGAGACAUGUUGAGAAAGAUGAUUUGUGAAGUGCAGGGACCUUGGCUCAGGGAUACAACCAAGCCAAGGUGCCUCCCGGGUAGGGAGCCAGGAGACUAAUGAUCAUGGCCUCACUCUCCUUUCUCCCUCUACUUUCUUACUGGUGUUCCACAUGGGCCAAACUCAACCAAGGCCAGAGGGCACAGGACACUGAUGUAGCCUAUGGAGGUCAGCCUCCUGGGGCUGAGCAUAGGAUAGAGAGGGGUGAAGGUGGGUCUGGAAGGGAAACGGAAAAUACCCAGCACAGACACUAAAUAAUGACUCAGAUAGAAAUGAUCAGUAACAGGAGAUGAAAGGUGGAUAUUUAUGAACAGAGUGUGCUCUCAUGAUCAAUUAAAACUGAAGUCUUGAUAAGAACGUGUAUGUUCAAUGCUGUGCACCACAGUUAUUGGGCAUAACUGGCAUGAGGUUCGCAUUGAUGAUGCUUGCCCAGGGUUUCCCAACUCCGAAAGGUCAAGAAUCUGCCCAAAGGCACCCAGCUAUGUGUAAGACUCAGACUAAAUCCAGGUCUACCUCCCAGCCCACAGCUUUUCCCACACCCCUCUCUAGUACUGACAAGUGAAGUCUACAAACACAGCAGGGAGCAGAACAGGUUGGGGGGAAAUGGAACCAGGUUUCAUGCAUGUUGCAUGUGAAAGGACAGUGGACAUCUGCAUGGAAAUAGCCAGCCAGCAGCUGGAAAUGCAGGACAAUACCCAUAGAGAGGAGUUGCUUACAUGCUCCCUAUGCUUGAGCACCAGACUCAGAACAGUCCUUUCAACAGAAGCUGGCUCAGGAAGAAUGUGGCUUCCUGACCGGAUGUCCACACGAAGGCCAGGAAGCCACAUUCCAAGAAAGAGCAUCCACCAUUUCCUUUUCACACCUACUUGCUCAACCCGCUGAAGACUCCCCUACACAUCCUGUGCCUUUGCCCUACUGUCAGCACACUGAGAAGGCUACUGCCCUUUCCUUAGUUCAUCUAAAACCCAAUCAUGAGCAGUAUACGCCUAUAAUGACCAGAUUGAAAAUGAGACAUCAUAAAACUUAGAUGGGAAAAUGAGAAGAAAAUUAAAGGCAUGAUGCAAACCAGCAGCGAUAUUGGAUACUGUAACAGAAAUCCCACACAAUUCUUCCCUGAAAUGUCAUCUGAUCUGAGCAUAUGCACCAGUGAGAAAUGAAUUUUCCUGAAACUCUGACAUGAAGCCUGCUCCAGGGAGCAGUUCUCAGUCUGUGACUUAGCUCAGCCCCCACCAAUGAACACCUGCUAGGCUCAUCUUGAACUGUUUGAUCUGAGUGGGAAAUGUGGCAGCAUUCUCAUCAUUACUGGCAGAAUACUUUUUUUAUUUAUUAUUUUCUUUAGAUCAUAAUAGUUUAUAACAUUGUGAAAUUCCAGUUGUACAUUAUUCUUUGUCACUCACCAUAUACAUGUG